rnacentral:rRNA from 1 species
GACGGAGGAUGCAAGUGUUAUCCGGAAUCACUGGGCGUAAAGCGUCUGUAGGUGGUUUAAUAAGUCAACUGUUAAAUCUUGAGGCUCAACCUCAAAAUCGCAGUCGAAACUAUUAGGCUAGAGUAUAGUAGGGGUAAAGGGAAUUUCCGGUGGAGCGGUGAAAUGCGUAGAGAUCGGAAAGAACACCAACGGCGAAAGCACUCUGCUGGGCCGACACUGACACUGAGAGACGAAAGCUAGGGGAGCGAAUGGG